rnacentral:rRNA from 1 species
UACAGAGGGUGCGAGCGUUAAUCGGAAUUACUGGGCGUAAAGCGCGCGUAGGCGGCUUUGCAAGUCGGGUGUGAAAUCCCCAGGCUUAACCUGGGAACUGCAUUCGAGACUGCAUUGCUUGAGUAUGGGAGAGGGAAGUGGAAUUUCCGGUGUAGCGGUGAAAUGCGUAGAUAUCGGAAGGAACAUCAGUGGCGAAAGCGACUUCCUGGACCAGUACCGACGUUCAGGCACGAAAGCGUGGGGAGCAAACAGG